rnacentral:rRNA from 1 species
AGUGAACGCUGGCGGUAGGCCUAACACAUGCAAGUCGAACGGCAGCACAGGAGAGCUUGCUCUCUGGGUGGCGAGUGGCGGACGGGUGAGGAAUACAUCGGAAUCCACCUUUUCGUGGGGGAUAACGUAGGGAAACUUACGCUAAUACCGCAUAAGACCUUCGGGUGAAAGCAGGGGACCUUCGGGCCUUGCGCGGAUAGAUGAGCCGAUGUCGGAUUAGCUUGUUGGCGGGGUAAAAGCCCACCAAGGCGACGAUCCGUAGCUGGUCUGAGAGGAUGAUCAGCCACACUGGAACUGAGACACGGUCCAGACUCCUACGGGAGGCAGCAGUGGGGAAUAUUGGACAAUGGGCGCAAGCCUGAUCCAGCCAUACCGCGUGGGUGAAGAAGGCCUUCGGGUUGUAAAGCCCUUUUGUUGGGAAAGAAAACUUGCGGGCUAAUACCCAGCAAGUCUGACGGUACCCAAAGAAUAAGCACCGGCUAACUUCGUGCCAGCAGCCGCCGUAACAC